rnacentral:tRNA from 1 species
UAAUAAGAAGUAAUAAUUUACAUUUAAUUUCGACUUAAAAUUUUGAUUUAUAAAUAAAUCCUUAUUAA